GCCAUUUCAGCUUGCAGGUAGCUCACCAUCUUCUGGCCAAUAAAGAGACCUGAGAGGCAGGUAUUUUCACCUAGCACUCGAGAAAGUGAAGAGGGAGAGGAAUGCUUCAGUCCCAGCGAAUGCAACUGCUGAGAGCAAUAACAUCUUUGCUAGUUAGCUGAUCAAGAGCCAAAACUUUUAAAAACAAUUCCACCUACUACCUAGACUCUUCUCAUCCAAAGACGAAGCCUCUCUGAUUUCACAGACAUUUAUUUCCUGAGACUUGGGGUUAGGAUUCACUGGUUUCAGGGGAGGGUGGUGGAAUGAGGUUGUUUCUGCGGCUGUUUUUAAAAAGCGCAAUCAAGGUGGGUUCGAGACUGUUUGGAGGGGAGAUCAUUCACAUGCCAAUCUAACCCUCUUCCUGUCAGGAACAUUUUAGGUUAGAACAGGUGGAUUAGAGGUGGGAUGAGAACACUUUUGAGACGCUUCUUUUGCUAUGUGCGAAUGCAGCCCUAGAGGCAUACAGAGCUAGGCAUGUUUAUUUGGAGGCAAGUUCAGCUAAUUUUAGUGGGGCCCAUACUCUGGUAACCAGGUUCCUUACAGUUGGGUGAAUACAUGUUUACUUGAUGUUAAGCCACUCUGUUUUGGAUAGGACUUGCAACUUCAGAUUGCAAUCUGCUUUCAGGGGAACAUAUUUUAAAAGAGCGAGAAGGAAGAGUCUAUGCAUAGGAUGGCAGUCUUAAGUGUAGCAGGUUCCUCUUGUCAUGCAGUAUCUUCCCUUUCCAUUGCAGGUGCCCCAGCAAGCUCUUUUUCUGGACUCCUGAAAAAAAAAAAAUCUAGCAGGAGAGCAUCUCCUUGACUCUCUGGGUGCAUUAAAAGGGAGCUUCAGAAUGGAAUGGUGUUUUUGUUGCUUGGAUCAGAGAUUUGGAUCCCUGAAUGUCCUUCUGGAAUAUGGACAGAAGUCACAGAGAAAGCAGCAUCUGAGGAAAUACAGAGUUCCUUAAAAAAAGAAGAAGCAGCUAUUAUUUUCCACAAUGCUUAGUGAAGAGUGGAAGAAGCUUCAAGGCAGAGAAACAGACAAAGUAUUCAACGAUUGCUGUUCUGACCAGUUUUCCUAAAACAAAGAUGCACAGUGUAUUUAGACUGAAAAAAAUAAGAUUAAUAGCAGGCCAUGGAGUUGGAAUGAAUUUUGGCUCCUAUGUCUUUAAUAACUGUGCAGAAGAGGGAAUUAGUAGCAUGAUUCGAAGCAUGCUCUUCUGAACCAGUUAUCAAAGGUAGAUGAUUGCAACCAUAGCUGAACCUGAUCUUACACCAUAGAAGUUGAGCGGAAAAUAAUGAGAAGAAAGAAGUGGAAGGGCUAAGUGUGAAGAUAAGUUGCCGCAUGCCAGCUUUCACCAUCCUUGCUCAUUGACCAUCCUGGCUGGGGUUAAUGGGAGCUGAAAACUAGCCAAAUCUGGAGAUUGACAGAUCCUCCAUUCCUUCUGUAGAACUUGGAUGGGACACUUGGCUGAACAGUUUGGAAAGUUUCUUAGUAUGUAAUUACAUUCUAAGAAACUUCAGCUGGCAGUAUAGCCUUUGAUUCUAAUGAGGCUUGACCUCCAAUUGAAAGGGUACAUGCAACUCAAACAUAUGGGGGAAAAAACAUAAUUUAGUGCUUGGUAUUCAGGUUGUGUCCCUUCAGCUGUUUCUGAACUACAGUCUCCAUCAGUUGAAGUCUAGAAUGAUGGGAGUUAUAGUACAGACACAGCUAGACAACACAGUUAAACAGCCUUAAUUUAGCAGAGCAGGCUAGUUUAGCAGUUUAGAUCUGUCUCUGUUAUAAAUUCCUGCCAUACACAGUUAAAAGUAGCAGGUAAUNGGCAUUACCUGCUUUCUAUAUGUAGCAUAUGAACUAGGCUGAUAGUCUAACCUGACGUAGGACCACAAUACAUUUUCAGGGAAGGCAGAAUUCAUGGCACAUUAAAUGGGUUCUAAGUUAUUGCAUAGAUCAAAGUUCUUCAGUCAGUGUGUACCCAGAUGUUUUUGGACUGGGGCUCUUGUCA
rnacentral:lncRNA from 1 species